rnacentral:rRNA from 1 species
CCUACGGGAGGCAGCAGUGAGGAAUAUUGGUCAAUGGACGCAAGUCUGAACCAGCCAUGCCGCGUGCAGGAAGACGGCCCUAUGAGUUGUAAACUGCUUUUGUACGAGGGUAAACGCAGAUACGUGUAUCUGUCUGAAAGUAUCGUACGAAUAAGGAUCGGCUAAAUACGUGCCAGCAGCCGCGGUAAUACGGAGGAUUCAAGCGUUAUCCGGAUUUAGUGGGUUUAAAGGGUGCGUAGGCGGUCGGAUAAGUUAGAGGUGAAAUCCCGAGGCUCAACUUCGGAAUUGCCUCUGAUACUGUUCGGCUAGAGAGUAGUUGCGGUAGGCGGAAUGUAUGGUGUAGCGGUGAAAUGCUUAGAGAUCAUACAGAACACCGGUUGCGAAGGCAGCUUACCAAGCUACUUCUGACGUUGAGGCACGAAAGCGUGGGGAGCAAACAGGAUUAGAUACCCCAGUAGUC